UAAAAAAUUUUGGCGGUAUUUUAAGCUUAUUAGAGGAAUUUGCUCUGUGAUGGACAUAACGCCUUAAUCUUACUUAAUUUAGUAAUUUAAAUCAGUUUGUAUACCACUAUAUUAAUUAUAUUGAAUAGUUAUAUUUAAAAUUUUUUAAAAAAAAUAUAUUAAGUCAAGGUGCAUCUAAUAAUUAUGAAUGAAGUGAAUUACAUUAAUUUUAAUGUAAUUUUUUACAUGAAAAAAUUAAUUAGGAUUUAAUAGUAAAAUACUAAUAUUAUGAGUAUUUGAAUCAAGCUCUAAAAUAUGCACAUAUCGCCCGUCGCUCUCAGAAGUGAGAUAAGUCGUAACAAAGUAAAAAUACUGGAAAGUGUUUUUUAAAAUGAAAUCAUUUGAUGUUUCAUUUACAAUGAAAAUUUUGUUGUUUAACCAUUUUAA
rnacentral:rRNA from 1 species